rnacentral:lncRNA from 1 species
UGGUAUGACGGAAAUAAUAUAGAUUACAAUAAUGAAAAUUAAAUAUUAAUCAUUAUCCAAAUUAUACUUCAAAUAUUUAAUGCUGAUUUCAAAAGCCAAAAUUUUGAGGAAAGAAUUGAAAAUACAGUUUAUAAAAAUCAAUAAGCACAUCAUUUUAAACUUAUAUUUCUGUAUUUUAGUAACGUAACUACCAAUUCAGAAAAGAUUUCAU